rnacentral:rRNA from 1 species
GCCUAACACAUGCAAGUCGAGCGGUAACAGAGAGAAAGCUUGCUUUCUUUGCUGACGAGCGGCGGACGGGUGAGUAAUGCCUGGGAACAUGCCUUAGUGUGGGGGAUAACCAUUGGAAACGAUGGCUAAUACCGCAUAACGUCUACGGACCAAAGAGGGGGAUCUUCGGACCUCUCGCGCUAAGAUUGGCCCAGGUGGGAUUAGCUAGUAGGUGGGGUAAAGGCUCACCUAGGCGACGAUCCCUAGCUGGUCUGAGAGGAUGAUCAGCCACACUGGAACUGAGACACGGUCCAGACUCCUACGGGAGGCAGCAGUGGGGAAUAUUGCACAAUGGGCGAAAGCCUGAUGCAGCCAUGCCGCGUGUAUGAAGAAGGCCUUCGGGUUGUAAAGUACUUUCAGUUGUGAGGAAGGGGGUAGUGUUAAUAGCGCUAUACUCUUGACGUUAGCAACAGAAGAAGCACC